rnacentral:lncRNA from 1 species
CAAUCCACUGACUCAAAUGUUAGUCUCUGGUAACACCCUCACAGACACACCCAGGAACAAUACUUUGCUUCCUUCAGUCUAAUUAAGCUGACACUCAAUAUUAACCAUCACAGUAAGCAUAUCAGAGACUAUAGGGUCUGCUGUUUGGGACAGGGUGUUCUGAAAGGACCUCUGGUAAGGUGACUUUUGAGCAUAGACCUGAAGAAAAUGGAGGAAUGAGCCCUGUACAUUGUCAGGGAAGAACUGCUCUGGCAGAGGAAAUACAGAUGGAAAGGGCCUGCACUGGAAAAGUGAUCGGCAUGUUAGAGGCACAGUGAGGAGGCCAACACAACCGGUGAGGAGUGAAUCAGGAGAAUAAUAGGGGAUGAAGUCACAGUAUUGGGACCCAGGUCAUAGAGAGCCCUGGAAGGCAUUUUAAGGACUUGGACUUUGAGGAAAAUGAGAAACCAUUGGCCAGUUUGGGGUACAUGGAUGAUAUUUAACCAGAAGAUUCUUUUUCCUCUCUAUCAAGUCAUCACUUUCCACAUUUUAUGGAAAGAAGUUUUAUCUUUUCUUGUUAAGCUAUUGGUGAAUUUUUAACUUUGGGGUUUUGUUUCGGAUAGGUAUUGGGAGAAGGAGAGGCUGUCAACCCAUGCCACUAUGCUAUCUCUAAUUCUGCCAUCCAGACCGAGCAAACGUACUUAAGACCUUUGUGUAAGAUCAGAAAAUCAUAAGACAGCAUUAAAAAGUACUAUACAGGAGGAGAUGGAACAAGAUGGCCAAAUAGAAGCCUCCAGCAAUCAUCUCCCCGAAAGGAAUUGAACAACUAUCAAAACAAAAUUGAACAACUAUCUAAACAAAAAAGUACCUUCAUAAAAAACAAAAAUCAGGACAAUAUCAGAACGGCACAUACAAGUGUCCCCAAGUCAUAUUUGGAAUAAGAUCACUUGGGAACACAAGUCAAAGAAGGACACAGUGUUCUGCCUCUCCUGAGUAAGCAGCAACAACGCACCAUCUUGGAAUCAGGGGACGGCCCUCACCAGACAACUAAAUCUGCAGACACCUUGGACUUCCCAGCCUCCAGAACUGUCUUUCUGGCAACUGUCUAAACAUAAACCAGAGAAGGGCAAGGCAGACUCAGGAAGGACAAAUAGAAGGCUAUUUUCAUAAAUCGGGCAUACAAUGGUGGACAAAACAGCUGCCUUUCUUCCCCGUAUGGAGCUUACAGUAUAGUGAAUAUUUCAUGGGACUAGUAUCUACAGAAGGUGUUUUGGGAAGCACAGCUUUGGAGAGAGUAAUUUGCCAACAUUGCACAGAAUAAAGGCACCAUGAGGGCCCAAGGAAGGAAAAGAUUUGCAGCUGUCUUGACCACCACCACAUGUGCAGCAUCCCUCUGGGUCUCUUCCAUGACAACCCUGUGGGAAGCCAGGCAAGUGAGAAUCAAUGUAAACAUGAAGUUCAUGCUGCUUACUGUGUCGUGAUAAUGUCCUUGUCUCCCAAUCAGGAGCCUCAUGUCUUCUUGCCAGCCUCUGUGGAACUGUGGUAGGCUAUUAAGUUAAUUAGCAAGCAGGGUAAAGUCUCAGAUCCUUUGCAUUUUCUUUUAACCAGCUCUUUCUAGGUGAAAGACACAUGGAUAUCACUGUGAAACUUCAUGCUCUGUAUAGCUCAAAAUUUUGCCCAAGGGGAGGUUCCAGCACCAUCUGAUUAGUACAUAUUGCUGAGAAAAAUACUAAAGGAAGAAAAUACUAAUAAUAAUAUAUUUCACUAACCCUCUUAGAUAUUAAGAAAUGAAUGAAAAGGUCUAUAUUAUUGACUAUUAAUCACUUGGAAUCUCUGUUGUUAAACUGAGAAGUAAACUGCAUUGCCUAGAAUAUUGGCCAUAUUUUUAGUGAUACUAAUUAAAUUGUUUGAGAUAGAUCUGAAGACAGCAGAAGCUUGUCUGGGCCUAGCUUCCUUGAAUUCUUCUUCCCCGAAUUGCUAUGUCUUGGUAAUUUUGAAAUAUGAGUUAGAAACCAUCUACUUACCUAACUGAUAUCAUUAUUCCAGUUAAUGUUUGUCCCAAGGUAUUUCUCAAAGACUUAAGAAAAAUGAAAAUUCUAUUUUUUAAAGGGCCUAGCUCUUUUAAAAGGAUAUGUUUCAUGGAAUUCUAUUUAUCAACAAACAUGUAGACUACUUCAACAAGACUUCAAUGUGAUUUCAUGUGUUUAUUCUCCUGAGUCAGAUGUGAACAAUGUAAUCCUAAAAGAUUUUGGGGAAUGGUGACAUAUGCUACUUAAUUCACACUCAUGAGCUUAAGAGAAGAUAAGAGAAUGUCAUGCUCAUGUGUGACAAAGAUAAAACUAUAUUCUAACUAGGAUUACAAGAAUAAAACACCAGAAACUUGACAACUUGACAUUUUUUCACAGUGCUUAAAAAUAAAUGUAAUAAAACUUUGGCAGUUAAUGUCAUUUUGAUUUGCUUUAAUUUUAUUUUCAAACCUCUAUUAUUGAAAUAAUAAUUUCAUUAUUUCAAACCUUCAUAGGAAAAUAAUAGAAUUGUGCUGUUGUGUCAGUAUAAGACAUAGUCAACAUUUUCUGCAAUGAACAAGUAAUGUUGAGAUUAACAAGAUUUCUCUUAAUAAAUGUUUUAUACAAGCAUAAGAAAAAUGGAUAGCACAAAAAAUGGAUAGCACAAUAGGGUAACAUUAGCACUUUAACAAAUAAAUCCCAACAUUCUAAUGGCUUAAUACAAUUGAAUUUUAUUUCUUGCUCAUGCAACAGUCCAGCACAGGUGCUCAUGGUCUGCUGCUGGGGCCACGAUGCAUCUGUCUCAUGCAGUCAUAUAGAGACCCAAGUUGAUAGCUGUGAUGUGUUCUCCAAAACAUGGCUUUAGAGGUUGCCAUGGAAAUCAACAUCCAACUGAUGGAAGAGGCAAGAGAAAGGAUGCAAAAACCACACCAGCUGUUUAAUUACCUGGGUCCAGAAGUAACAGGUGCCACUACCUCUCACAUUCUAUUAGUGGAAAUUAGUCACAUGGCCUCUCCUAACUGCUAGUAAGUAUAGAAAAGUUGGUUUUGGCUGGGCAGCCACAAGACAAAGCUACUAAGAAAGACAUAGCAUUAAUUUUAUGUUGUUAGCCAUCUCUGCUAUAAGCGUAAGUCAAAUAGAAUUUUCAUUUUUCUUAAGUCUUUGAGAAAAACAUUGGGACAAACAUUAACUGGAAUAUUGAUAUCCAUUAGGUAUGAGCUUGAUUGUUUCUAACUCAUAUUUCAAAAUUACCAGAUAUAGCAAUUCAGGGAAGAAGAAAAAGGUUUAAAGACUGUGACAUUCAGACUGCUAUAUUCAAUACAGAAAAGAUAUUUGGUGAUAUUUCUAUCCCUUUUUCUUAAAUGUACAUUCUUCUGGGAUUUAAUAAAGUCACAUUCUGAUUUUUAAAAAUAGUACUAUUAAUCUCACUAUAGAGCUCUGAAAAUAAUAGAAUCGUGCUGUUAUAUUACAGCAGUUAUUGAUUGUCCAUUUUUUCCAAAGACACUGAGAUCUAUGGAAGAAAUAAGCCUCAUUAUUUUUCAUUUGUAUUUAAUGUAGAUGCAACAAAAGUUAUAUACUUCUUUAUUAUAUAUUUUGUCAUGCCUAUUAAAUGCCAGUUAUAUAAGAUGAUUCCUGAUCCAAACACAGUGCUUUAUGUUAUUGGGAUUAAAAGAAUUAGUUAAAGCUUUAAGUUAAAUUACUUUUGAAUUCAUUUAUGGCUAGGUACACAUGAAAUAAACACUCUACAUUGUCUACAGUGGUAAUUGCCAAGAAAAAGAGUAUAUUUUAGUAACAAUUUGGCUAAGCGCCUCAAAUUCAAAGUAAUUCCACAUUUAAAUACUAACACUCAAACCUGAAAGUUGUCUUUAAAAGCUUUAUAAAUUGUUUCUGGUGAGGGUUUUACGACUAUGGGGUGGGUGGAAAGGGGAGGAAGGAAGAGGGACUGCCUCACUAUAAGCUGAUAACAAGGUUGCUAAAAAUUGCUCUUAUCAAUGGUCUUUGCACUUAACUUGUUUAAAUAAAAGAAAAAACUUCAUGUGAGUCAUCGUAUUUUGUUCACUACAGCUUGGCAGGUCACCUUGUUCUAGCAGAUAGAAACUGAAUCAAUAUGGGAAGAGCCAGAAUUUGGACAAGGUUCACCAAACAUUCACACUGAUGCCAGGUGGGCCAAGAAAAAGGGAAUGUCCUGCCUCUGAGGUAUCUAAAAAUUUUUAUGUUUAAGUCAAGGGUUUUGUGUUGUGAAGGCAGAGCUUUGAAUUUCUAAUAGAAGAAGAAAAGCAGAAUAUACCCAGAAACUCCUGAUUAAAUUUAUGGUCCUCUAAUAAUAUUUUAACUUUAAAGGAGUCAGACGGCAUUCUAGAAAAGAGCCCUUUGGUCAAUGCUUUCCUAUCUAUAGUUUAAUCAACCCUUCCAUAUAUGCACAUAUUAAGCAAAUUCAAAUGACAUUAAAAAUAAGUUACAUUUCUUAUUCUAACCCCUGCCAUUCAUCCCGCUUUCCCCCCAUUGUCACACAUAUGCCCACUUCCACUUCUGCACAUAGGAAGAAAGGGUGAAUAAAUGUCAGAAUCAAGUGGAAAGAUUAAUCAUAGGCUGUUUUUUACAUUGUUUUAUUCUGAGUCAGAAUACGCUUUACAGGACAUAGGCAAGCACUUGAAAUAUAGGACUCAGAACAUAAGAUGCUUCGUAGGACCCAGGCAAGCACAGCAAUUAAAUGGAAUUCCACAUUUUUAAGGAAAGCUUUUUACUUUUCUUCCUCUUUUUGUUUCUCUUUACUUUUGCAGCUCCCUUCAAAAGUCCUUUCUGUGAGACACAUUUUUAACUACCAUAUUGUUCAAUUUUAACAAGAGUUCAGGGUGAGGAAGGUUAUAGCUGAGGCAUUUACAAGGAUUUCCUGUUUGUAGUGGCUGCUUUUUCCUCUUUGGUAAUGUGUUUUUCACAUUUUUUAAAAGCUGCCUGUAUGCAUUAAUAUUACUUAAUCUCCAUCACCUUAAGAAACCAUAUGGGGCAGGGAGAGGAAGACCGGUGCUGGCUCUUUCCCUUUCUCAAUGACUUGAGACACCUUAACCUUGCUUAACUUUUUCUAGAAAAUGAAGAUAGUAACACCUGCUCUGAAUUGUCACAGAAUUAUUGUAAGGCUCAAAUAAAAUCUAUGUAUUUAAGGAAUCAAUAUGUAAUAAAGAUCUUGAAGUGUUAGUAGUCGAUUAUAUCUGAGAUACAUUCGCCAAUAUCCAAGGGGGACAAAGAGAGCUCCAUACCCCGGGGGAAAUGUAGUCCACUGACAAUUUGUCCACACAAUUAGAAUACAAAAUAGCACCCUAUGCCUCAACUUUUUUACAGUCAAAGAAAGCAUGAGGCAUAAAUAGUCCUGAAGGGAUGUGGAGUCUGUUUGCUCUGCAUAUGAUUUGCAUAUGCUCCUCUGAAAAGUCACCGGGCAACCGAGUAAUUGUACAGUAAUGAUGUGGUUAAAAAAACAGAUUGAUCUACUUUUAUUAUUAUUGUUACAAAAUAAUACAUAUAUUUUUAAAAUUCAAACGAUACUAAAAGUUACAUUCCCUGUCCUACUCCCUGUCACUUAUACCAUUUCCCAGUUUCUGUUUUUAGUUCUGAUGGUUUCCUUUUUGCUCUCCACUGUGACUGAUAUACAUUUAUACUUCUAUUUUUUGAUGACUCAAGUUUCGAUAGUAUCUUCUCACUCCCAGUACAAGAUAUUCAGUACACAAAAGAUAUCCUUUUCUCUCCUGAGUUUCAUUUUACGUGUGUAUGAACACACAAACAUGCUAACACACAUGCUCACACAAUCUUUUAGCUCUUGUAUAGGUUCCUGAAUUAAUUGUUCAGUAGUAUACUAAGCCUCUACUUCUGGUUUCCAAUUUAGGCCCUGCAUGUUGUCCAACACUAGCCCAUCAGUGGGAUUGUUUUACAUUCAGGGCAGCUGCACUACUGCCUCCUUGGAGAACAGUGCCUCCUGGAGUUUAGCAGUGCACAGCCCUACAGAUUAAUGCAGGGGCCCUGAUCAUAUUUGUAUUUUGUUCCUGUAUAUGUUUAAUCAAUCUUUAGAAUCUCAUCUAUAGUUGGUUCAUUAUUGCUGGGAAACAAACGGCAUUUACAAAGUCAAAUUUUAGUAAUGUUAUUCAUUAUAUAAAUGAAUAGUAUCUUUCUCUCCAUAUCCUUUACAAAGUCUUCAAAAGUUUCUGAAAUUUCACUAGGAUAAGUUGGUGGAUCUUUUUCUCACCCAUUCAGUACUUUGUGGGCUUUUUCAAAUGGCAGAUUUGUGUCUUUUUUAAAACUCUGAAUAAUUUUCUUCUAUUACAGCUUUGAUAAUUUUCAUCCCUCUGUUUUCCCUACUCACUCUUUCUAGAACUUCUUUUUCCAUUUUUUAGUGAUAAAAUACACAUACAUAAAUACUAUCUUAACCAUUUCUAAGUAUGCAAUUCAGUGGUACUAAAUACAUUCAUAAUGUUAUGCCACAUAACCACCAUCCAUCUCCAUAACUCUUUUCAACUUGUAAAACUGAAACUCUAUACCCAUUAAGCAAUAACUCCUCAUUCCUCCUCCCCCAAACUCCUGGAAACAACUAUUCUACUUUCUGUGUUUAUGAUUUUGAAUACUCUAAGUACUUCAUGUAAAAGGAAUCAUGCAGCAUUUGUGUUUUUGUAAUUGGCUUAUUUCACUUAGCAGGUCCUCAGGGUUCAUCAGUGUUUUAGCAUGAAUCAGAAUUUCCUUCUUUUUAAGGCUGCAUAAUAGUCUACUGUAUGUAUACACCAUAGUUACUUAUCCACACAUCCACUGAUGGAUACUUGAGUUGCUUCCAUGGUUUAGCUACUGUGGAUAAUGCUGCUAUGGUCAUGAGUGUACAAAUAUCUCUUAGGGUUCUAUCAAUUAUUUUGGGUAUAUACUCAGAAGUGGAAUUGCUGAAUCAUAUAAUGAUUCUAUUUUUAAUUUUUUUAGGAAUGGCCAUACUGUUGUCCACAGUGGCUGUAUCACAUAAAUUCCCAUUAAUGGUGCAAAGGUUUCAGUUUCUCCACAUCCUCACCAACAUUUGUUAUUUUCUGUUUUGUCUUGUUGAUAUUUGUCAUUCUAAUGAGCGUGAGGCGUUAUCUCAUGGUAGUUUUAAUUUGCACUUCCCUAAUGAUUAGUGAUGCUAAGCAUCUGUUCACGUACUUAUUGUCCAUUUGUAUAUCUUGUUUGGAGAAAUGUCUAUUCAAGUACUCUGCUCAUUUUUGAAUCAGGUUGUUUGCUUUUUUUGUUGUAAGUUACAGAAGUUUCUAUAUAUUCUAAAUAUUAUAUUCUGAUAAGGGUAUCAGAUAUAUGACUUGAGAAUAUUUCCUCCCAUUCUGUGGUUCACAUUUUUACUCCAUUGCUAGUGUCUUUUGAUGUAUAAAAUUAAUUUUAAUGAGGUCAAUUUGUCUAUUAUUUCCUUUGCUGUCUGUGCCUUUGGUGUCAAGUCCAAGAAGUCAUUGCCAAGUCCAAUGUCAUAAAGCUUUUGCUCUAUGUUUUCUUCUGAGAGUUUUAUUAGUUUAGAUCUUACAUUUAGGUCUUUGAUGCAUUUGCAGUUAAUUUUUGUAUAUAGUGUUGGGUAAGGGCCCAACUUCAUUCUUUUGCAUGGGAAAAUCCAGUUUUCUAAGCACCAUUGUUGAAAAGAGUAUUCUUUCUACAUUGAAUAGUCUUAGCACCUUGUCAAAAAUCACUUGAUCAUAUGUGUUAGGGUUUAUUUCUGGGCUCUGUAUUCUAUUCCAUUAGCCUGUAUGUCUGUCUUUUUACCAGUGCCACGCUGUAUUGAUUUUUGUAGCUUUGUUGUAAGUUUUCCAAUAGAAAACUGUGAUUUUUCCAGCUUUGUUCUUCUUCAAGAUUGUUUUGUCUAUUUGAGGUCCCUUCAGAAUUCCAUUUGAAUUUUUGGAUGAGUUUUUCUAUUUAUGAAAAAAAAAAUCAUUGGAAUUUUGAAAAACAUUGCACUGAAUUUUUACAUUACUUUGGAGAGCAUUGACAUCUUAACAAUAUGAAGUUUUCCAAUCUAUCCAUGAAGAUGGGAUGUGUUUUCAUGUAUUUAUGUAUUCUUUCUUUCAGCAACAUUUUAUAGUUUAGGCUGGGUGUGGUGGCUCACACCUCU